rnacentral:rRNA from 1 species
UACGACUACAUAUCAGGCAUAUCAAUAAGCGGAGGAAAAGAAACUAACUAAGGAUUCCCUCAGUAACGGCGAGUGAAGCGGGAAGAGCUCAGAUUUGAAAUCUUCGAGGUUCUACCUUGACGAAUUGUAGUUUAAAGAAGUGUUUUCUGUUGAAGUUUUGGUAAAAGUUCUUUGGAAUAGGACAUCAUAGAGGGUGAGAAUCCCGUAUUUGACCAUUAUUUUCCAGCUGUGUGAUACACUUUCAAAGAGUCGGAUUGUUUGGGAAUGCAGUCCAAAAUGGGUGGUAAAUUUCAUCUAAAGCUAAAUAUUGGCGAGAGACCGAUAGCGAACAAGUACCGUGAGGGAAAGAUGAAAAGAACUUUGAAAAGAGAGUUAAACAGUACGUGAAAUUGUCAAAAGGGAAGCGUUUGACACCAGUGUUGUUUUCUCGAAAAUCAAUUAAAAAGAGUUGGGAUUUUGUGUUGUAUUGACCUUUAUCAGCUUUCUGCACUCUUUUCCUAGUCUUUUUUAAUGCACUUUUCGUUUAACAAGUCAACAUCAAUUUCCUUUUGUUGUAAAAGGGUCAUUGGAAGGUGGCUUUCUCUUUCGGAGAAAGUGUUUAUAGCCUUUGGCCUCUGCAAUCGGAGAGAUUGAGGUCUGCAGCGUAGAUCCUUCGGGGCUAAAUGCAUUUGUGCUAAGUUAUAGCCUUUCAUAGACAACUUGUUGACUAUGAUCAGUCAUGUAGCUUACUCGCUUAUGCUAUUUUACCUACGCUUAGGAUGUUGAGCGCAUGUCUCUCUCU